rnacentral:rRNA from 1 species
GGGCCCGCACAAGCGGUGGAGCAUGUGGUUUAAUUCGAUGCAACGCGAAGAACCUUACCUACUCUUGACAUCCAGAGAAGCCAGCGGAGACGCAGGUGUGCCUUCGGGAGCACUGAGACAGGUGCUGCAUGGCUGUCGUCAGCUCGUGUUGUGAAAUGUUGGGUUAAGUCCCGCAACGAGCGCAACCCUUAUCCUUGUUUGCCAGCGAGUAAUGUCGGGAACUCCAGGGAGACUGCCGGUGAUAAACCGGAGGAAGGUGGGGACGACGUCAAGUCAUCAUGGCCCUUACGAGUAGGGCUACACACGUGCUACAAUGGCGCAUACAGAGGGCGGCAAACUUGCGAGAGUGAGCGAAUCCCAAAAAGUGCGUCGUAGUCCGGAUUGGAGUCUGCAACUCGACUCCAUGAAGUCGGAAUCGCUAGUAAUCGUAGAU